GAGGAGCCACCUUGCAAAAGUUUCUCCUCUGCACAGCCUGCACCCAUCGGCAUUCUCAACAGCUGUCUGUAGAAGAGAUAACUCUGGUGUGACAAGCUCUUUCAGAGGUACCUGUGAAAAAACACACUGAUAUUUCAAUACCCGCCUUCGUCAACUGCCU